rnacentral:rRNA from 1 species
CACGUAGGGGGCAAGCGUUGUCCGGAUUCAUUGGGCGUAAAGAGCUCGUAGGCGGUGUGUCGCGUCGGCCGUGAAAACCUGCAGCUUAACUGUGGGCUUGCGGUCGAUACGGGCAUCACUGGAGUUCGGCAGGGGAGACUGGAAUUCCUGGUGUAGCGGUGAAAUGCGCAGAUAUCAGGAAGAACACCCGUGGCUAAGGCGGUUCUCUAGUACGGUACUGACGCUGAGACGCGAAAGCGUGGGGAGCGAACAGG